rnacentral:rRNA from 1 species
GGAAAAGAAACCAACAGGGAUGCCCUAGUAACGGCGAGUGAAGCGGCAACAGCUCAAAUUUGAAAUCUGGCUCUCUUUGGGGGUCCGAGUUGUAAUUUGCAGAGGAUGCUUUGGCAUUGGCGGCGGUCUAAGUUCCUUGGAACAGGACAUCGCAGAGGGUGAGAAUCCCGUACGUGGGCGCCUGCCUUUGCCGUGUAAAGCUCCUUCGACGAGUCGAGUUGUUUGGGAAUGCAGCUCUAAAUGGGAGGUAAAUUUCUUCUAAAGCUAAAUACCGGCCAGAGACCGAUAGCGCACAAGUAGAGUGAUCGAAAGAUGAAAAGUACUUUGGAAAGAGAGUCAAAAAGCACGUGAAAUUGUUGAAAGGGAAGCGCUUGCAGCCAGACUUGCCCGCAGUUGCUCACCUAGGCUUUGGCCUGGGGCACUCUUCUGCGGGCAGGCCAGCAUCAGUUUGGGCGGUUGGAUAAAGGCCUCUGUCACGUAUCUUCCUUCGGGAUGACCUUAUAGGGGAGGCGUAAUGCAACCAGCCCGGACUGAGGUCCGCGCAUCUGCUAGGAUGCUGGCGUAAUGGCUGUAAGCGGCCCGUCUUGAAACACGGACCAAGGAGUCUAACAUCUAUGCGAGUGUUUGGGUGUCAAGCCCGGGCGCGCAAUGAAAGUGAACGGAGGUGGGAACCCUUUGGGUGCACCAUCGACCGAUCCUGAUGUCUUCGGAUGGAUUUGAGUAAGAGCAUAGCUGUUGGGACCCGAAAGAUGGUGAACUAUGCUUGAAUAGGGUGAAGCCAGAGGAAACUCUGGUGGAGGCUCGCAGCGGUUCUGACGUGCAAAUCGAUCGUCAAAUUUGGGCAUAGGGGCGAAAGACUAAUCGAACCAUCUAGUAGC